rnacentral:rRNA from 1 species
ACGGCGAGUGAAGCGGGAAAAGCUCAAAUUUGAAAUCUGGUAGCCUCAGGCUGCCCGAGUUGUAAUCUAUAGAAACGUUUUCCGCGCUGGCCCAUGUACAAGUCUCCUGGAAUGGAGCGUCAUAGAGGGUGAGAAUCCCGUCCUUGACAUGGACUACCAGUGCUUUGUGAUACGUUUUCAAAGAGUCGAGUUGUUUGGGAAUGCAGCUCAAAAUGGGUGGUAAAUUCCAUCUAAAGCUAAAUAUUGGCGAGAGACCGAUAGCGAACAAGUACCGUGAGGGAAAGAUGAAAAGCACUUUGGAAAGAGAGUUAAACAGUAUGUGAAAUUGUUGAAAGGGAAACGAUUGAAGUCAGUCAUGUCUAUUGGACUCAGCCGGUUCUGCCGGUGUACUUCCUUUAGAUGGGGUCAACAUCAGUUUUGAUCGCUGGAAAAGGGCAGGAGGAAUGUAGCACUCUCGGGUGAACUUAUAGCCUCCUGUCGUAUACAGUGGUUGGGACUGAGGAACGCAGCAUGCCUUUAUGGCCGGGGUUCGCCCACGUACAUGCUUAGGAUGU